rnacentral:rRNA from 1 species
GAUGAACGCUAGCGGCAGGCUUAACACAUGCAAGUCGAGGGGCAGCAUGUCGGAACCUUCAGGUUCUGAUGAUGGCGACCGGCGCAAGGGUGCGUAACGCGUGAGCAACUUGCCCGUUUCUGGGGAAUAACCGUUGGAAACGACGACUAAUACCCCAUAGUAUCAUGAUGAGGCAUCUCUUCAUGAUUAAAGAGAUUCGGAAACGGAUAGGCUCGCGUGACAUUAGCUAGAUGGCGGGGUAACGGCCCACCAUGGCGACGAUGUCUAGGGGUUCUGAGAGGAAGGUCCCCCACACUGGAACUGAGACACGGUCCAGACUCCUACGGGAGGCAGCAGUGAGGAAUAUUGGUCAAUGGACGCAAGUCUGAACCAGCCAUGCCCGCGUGCAGGAAGACGGCUCUAUGAGUUGUAAACUGCUUUUGACAAGGGUAAACCCUGGGACGUGUCCCAGGCUGAAAGUACNGUACGAAUAAGGAUCGGCUAACU